rnacentral:rRNA from 1 species
GAGUUUGAUCGUGGCUCAGAUUGAACGCUGGCGGCAGGCCUAACACAUGCAAGUCGAGCGGAUGACGGGAGCUUGCUCCUUGAUUCAGCGGCGGACGGGUGAGUAAUGCCUAGGAAUCUGCCUGGUAGUGGGGGACAACGUUUCGAAAGGAACGCUAAUACCGCAUACGUCCUACGGGAGAAAGCAGGGGACCUUCGGGCCUUGCGCUAUCAGAUGAGCCUAGGUCGGAUUAGCUAGUUGGUGGGGUAAUGGCUCACCAAGGCGACGAUCCGUAACUGGUCUGAGAGGAUGAUCAGUCACACUGGAACUGAGACACGGUCCAGACUCCUACGGGAGGCAGCAGUGGGGAAUAUUGGACAAUGGGCGAAAGCCUGAUCCAGCCAUGCCGCGUGUGUGAAGAAGGUCUUCGGAUUGUAAAGCACUUUAAGUUGGGAGGAAGGGCAGUAAGUUAAUACCUUGCUGUUUUGACGUUACCGACAGAAUAAGCACCGGCUAACUCUGU